rnacentral:lncRNA from 1 species
GCUCGUCAUGAAUAUUACAGUAGAAAGUUGUGCAUAUGUGAAUAGCUUCUAAAGAUUUGGGACAAUAAGUAUCCCAAUGUUGAUGUGUUUCCUUGGCUCCUCUUGUAAGAUCUCAAAACUGCCCCCAUGCAGAAAGACAAUUUCUCAUCAGGCACCAGCAGCCGGAGCACCGAGCUCAUUCACAGAGGAGUCCGAUAUCUACAGAAAGCCAUCAUGAAAUUGGAUUACAAACAGGACAACACGACGAUGCUCGAAUGAACCUCGCCAUCGCCCUCACUGCUGCCAGGUAUGUGGCUGCCAUAGCCAAUUACACUGAAGUGGUGCACCUACUGCAGAGGGCAGACCCCUCAGACGGGGGAGAAAGAGGGUCUGCGGAGAGCACUGCAGGGAUGUGAUCACAGGACGAGUCCAAACACCUCGCUCCAAUUUGGCACUGAACUGGUGAAGCCGCGCCUCCAGGAAGCUCUCUGUCGUGAUUGACAUGUAAUCAGACACGCCCACUAAGGUGAGCAUUUCAGCAUCCUUUGCACAGUGCUAUGUAUGUAUUUCACAUCUGUAGAGAGAAAUUAACAAUGGUUAAAA